UACGAAGGGGGCUAGCGUUGCUCGGAAUGACUGGGCGUAAAGGGCGCGUAGGCGGCUCAUACAGUCAGAUGUGAAAUUCCUGGGCUUAACCUGGGGGCUGCAUUUGAUACGUGUGGGCUUGAGUGGGGAAGAGGGUCGUGGAAUUCCCAGUGUAGCAGUGAAAUGCGUAGAGAUCGGGAGGAACAUCAGUUGCGAAGGCGGCCACCUGGACCAGCACUGACACUGAGGCACGAAAGCGUGGGGAGCAAACAGG
rnacentral:rRNA from 1 species